ACGGAGGAAAAGAAACUAACAAGGAUUCCCCUAGUAACGGCGAGUGAAGAGGGAAGAGCCCAAGAUUGAAAGCUGGCGUCUUCGGCGUCCGCAUUGUAAUCUCAAGAAGUGUUUUCCGCUUCGGACCAUGCCUAAGUCCCUUGGAAAAGGGCAUCAUAGAGGGUGAUAAUCCCGUACAUGGCAUGGAGCGCCCGAAGCUUUGUGAUACGCUUUCUAAGAGUCGAGUUGUUUGGGAAUGCAGCUCAAAAUGGGUGGUAAAUGCCAUCUAAGGCUAAAUAUUGGGGAGAGACCGAUAGCGAACAAGUACAGUGAUGGAAAGAUGAAAAGAACUUUGAAAAGAGAGUUAAACAGUACGUGAAAUUGCCAAAAGGGAAGGGUAGGAGGUCAGAGAUGCGUUCUGGGAUUCAGCCUUGCUUUUGCUUGGUGUUUUUCCCAAAUUGCAGGCCAACGUCGGUUUUGGGCGCUGGAGAAGGGUGGAAGGAACGUGGCACCCCUCGGGGUGUGUUAUAGCCUUCUACUGGAUACAGUGACCGAGACCGAGGACAGCAGCGUACUCGCAAGAGCGGGCCUUCGGGCACCUUUACGCUUAGGGCGUUGGCAUAAUGGCCC
rnacentral:rRNA from 1 species